rnacentral:rRNA from 1 species
AACGGGUGAGGAACACGUGAAGAAUCUGCCUUCAACUCUGGGAUAACUCCGGGAAACCGGGGCUAAUACCGGAUAUGAGCCUUGGCCGCAUGGCUGGGGCUGGAAAGUUUUUCGGUUGAAGAUGACUUCGCGGCCUAUCAGCUUGUUGGUGAGGUAACGGCUCACCAAGGCGACGACGGGUAGCCGGCCUGAGAGGGCGACCGGCCACACUGGGACUGAGACACGGCCCAGACUCCUACGGGAGGCAGCAGUGGGGAAUAUUGGGCAAUGGAGGAAACUCUGACCCAGCGACGCCGCGUGAGGGAUGAAGGCCUUCGGGUUGUAAACCUCUUUCAGUAGGGAAGAAGCGAAAGUGACGGUACCUACAGAAGAAGCACCGGCUAACUAUGUGCCAGCAGCCGCGGUAAUACAUAGGGUGCAAGCGUUGUCCGGAAUUAUUGGGCGUAAAGAGCUCGUAGGUGGUUCGAUACGUCGGAUGUGAAAAUCAGGGGCUCAACCCCUGACCUGCAUUCGAUACGGUCGAGCUAGAGUUUGGUAGGGGAGACUGGAAUUCCUGGUGUAGCGGUGGAAUGCGCAGAUAUCAGGAGGAACACCGAUGGCGAAGGCAGGUCUCUGGGCCAAUACUGACACUGAGGAGCGAAAGCGUGGGGAGCGAACAGGAUUAGAUACCCUGGUAGUCCACGCCGUAAACGGUGGGCGCUAGUUGUGCGAACCUUCCACGGUUUGUGCGACGCAGCUAACGCAUUAAGCGCCCCGCCUGGGGAGUACGAUCGCAAGAUUAAAACUCAAAGGAAUUGACGGGGCCCCGCACAAGCAGCGGAGCAUGCGGCUUAAUUCGACGCAACGCGAAGAACCUUACCAGGCUUGACAUAUACAGGAAUACGGCAGAGAUGUCGUAGCCGCAAGGUCUGUAUACAGGUGGUGCAUGGUUGUCGUCAGCUCGUGUCGUGAGAUGUUGGGUUAAGUCCCGCAACGAGCGCAACCCUCGUUCUGUGUUGCCAGCAUUUAGUUGGGGACUCACAGGAGACUGCCGGGGUUAACUCGGAGGAAGGUGGGGAUGACGUCAAAUCAUCAUGCCCCUUAUGUCUUGGGCUGCACGCAUGCUACAAUGGCUGGUACAACGGCUGCAUACCGCAGGUGGAGCGAAUCCGAUAAAGCCAGUCUCAGUUCGGAUUGGGGUCUGCAC